rnacentral:rRNA from 1 species
GAUAAACGCUGGCGGCGUGCCUAAAACAUGCAAGUCGAACGGAAGGCUUUCGGGCCUUCAGUGGCGGACGGCUGAGUAACGCGUGGGUGACCUGCCCGACAGUGGGGAUAACUGCCCGAAAGGGUGGCUAAGACCGCAUGUGCUCGUUGGAUCGAUCCGAUGAGGAAAACCCGCGAGGGUGCUGACGGAGGGGCCCGCGUCCGAUUAGCUGGUUGGUGGGGUAACGGCCUACCAAGGCGACGAUCGGAGCUGGUCUGAGAGGAUGAUCAGCCAGACUGGGACUGAGAGACGGCCCAGACUCCUACGGGAGGCAGCAGUUAGGAAUUUUGGCAAUGGGCGAAAGCCUGACCCAGCAACGCCGCGUGGGGACGACGGCCUUC